rnacentral:rRNA from 1 species
UUUCCGGUUGAUCCUGCCGGACCUGACUGCUAUCGGAUUGAUACUAAGCCAUGCGAGUCUUUGUAGUAAUACAAGGCAGACGGCUCAGUAACACGUAGUCAACCUACCCUAUGGACGAGAAUAAUCUCGGGAAACUGAGCAUAAUUCUUGAUAGAUCAUAUUGCCUGGAAUGGUUUAUGGUUAAAAUGAUUCGUCGCCAUAGGAUGGGACUGCGGCCUAUCAGCUUGUUGGUGAGGUAAUGGCCCACCAAGGCGAUUACAGGUACGGGCUCUGAGAGGAGAAGCCCGGAGAUGGGUACUGAGACACGGACCCAGGCCCUAUGGGGCGCAGCAGGCGAGAAAACUUUGCAAUGUGCGAAAGCACGACAAGGUUAAUCCGAGUGAUUUCUGCUAAAGAAAUCUUUUGCCAGUCAUAAAACCACUGGUGAAUAAGGGGUGGGCAAGUUCUGGUGUCAGCCGCCGCGGUAAAACCAGCACCUCAAGUGGUCAGGAUGAUUAUUGGGCCUAAAGCAUCCGUAGCCGGCUUUGUUAGUUUUCGGUUAAAUCCAUGUGCUCAACGCAUGGGCUGCCGAAAAUACUGCAUGGCUAGGGAGUGGGAGAGGUAGACGGUACUCAGUAGGAAGGGGUAAAAUCCUUUGAUCUAUUGAUGACCACCUGUGGCGAAGGCGGUCUACCAGAACACGUUCGACGGUGAGGGAUGAAAGCUGGGGGAGCAAACCGGAUUAGAUACCCGGGUAGUCCCAGCUGUAAACGAUGCAGACUCGGUGAUGCAUUGGCAUAAUAGCCAGUGCAGUGUCGCAGGGAAGCCGUUAAGUCUGCCGCCUGGGAAGUACGUACGCAAGUAUGAAACUUAAAGGAAUUGGCGGGGGAGCACCACAAGGGGUGAAGCCUGCGGUUCAAUUGGAGUCAACGCCGGAA